UACGAAGGGGGCUAGCGUUGUUCGGAAUUACUGGGCGUAAAGCGCACGUAGGCGGAUAUUUAAGUCAGGGGUGAAAUCCCAGAGCUCAACUCUGGAACUGCCUUUGAUACUGGGUAUCUUGAGUAUGGAAGAGGUAAGUGGGAAUUGCGAGUGUAGAGGUGAAAUUCGUAGAUAUUCGCAGGAACACCAGUGGCGAAGGCGGCUUACUGGCCCAUUACCUGGACGCAUGACGGUUGGACGAA
rnacentral:rRNA from 1 species